GCUGUCAUGGAAACCAGGGCACUGGCAACUUGGCACGGAAACAAGAACGCAGCUUUCUUCUUUCACCAAGCAGAGGGAAGGCUGAGACAACUUCAGCACAGGAGGAAGAGACCUUACAGUUGAUUUGAUCUCCCUUUGUGAAGGAACAGCCACCCAGAAGGUGCCACCCAGAGCUGCUCACUCACAGAGCCCAGGAACUGACUUCAGAACCAUGGAAAGCUCCCUAAGACUUAAAGGUUGAAUGAGGAGGCUACACCAUAUUCUGACUUCUACAGAAGGCUGAGUAUUAAAGCUGGAGACUGUGCUGUGUUUAAGAGUGCCAGAACCACAGAGGGGAAGUGUGAAGUAUCAUUCAGUUCACAGUUCCUCAAAGUGUGUUCCGAGGGCCCAGGCACCAGAAUAGCCUAGAACACUGCUCCUUCUGACAUCUGAAUCAUUCUCUGCAGGGUAGAGCCCUGGAUUGUGCAUUUUAACACAUUGCCUCAAAUAACUCUGAUGUACAUCAAGGCUUGAGGCUAAGUGAUCUGGUGCCACACUCAUUUAUUUCAGAAUUGUUGAUGCAUAGAUAGAAAUAGAACCUGAGAGCUGGAAGCUAUGACCAAUGCUCCAUUCCCUGGGUUAGACUGGGCCUUUCUUCUGUUUAAGACAGCACUGCUGUGAACAGUGAGGACUGGCAGGAAUGCCCGCUCAGGGCUCAGAAAGAACAGAGGCCUGUCCAUGGACAACUGUCAGCUGGGACUCUCUGGAGACAGGUGAAGAAACGGAAGGUCACAGAGGCUAAGCAUCAAGCACAAGACUCUUACUUCUUUCAUUCUACAAGUAUUCACGGAGUCUCUGGGUGUGCCAGGCACUGGUACAUAUAGUGAGGAAUCAAAUAAGCCUGCCCUACCUUUGUGAAGCCUCCAGUCUAGGAGGGCUGUUGGCAAUAACUGGGAAAGGAAACAAGGAAACAGUUCCAGGGGGUGACAAGGGCCGUGAAAGUACCGAGAAGAGGUGUGAAGAAAGAUAACAUUGGGGAGCAAAAGAUGAUGAGCCAGAUCAUGAGCGCCCUUACAGAAUUUGGAUCAGAUUCUAAAUCAAUGGGAAAUCAUGGACAUGAUUUAUGCAGGGGAGUGACAGGAUCUGAUUCAUAUCUUAAAGGAACUCCCUGAUUGUGGAGAGAGAUUAGAUGGGGCAAAAAGAGAAAAUGUAGGGGCCAGAGAGCUAGGAAGUGUCAGAGCCCAUGUUCCCUGGCCCCCCACCAAGAUAUGUCUGACCUCAUUCUCUAGCGCUCUGGGUGCCCUCCCAUAUUCUUGCACGCUUACCGCGUCUGGCACCCCAACCCAACUUCCAACUGCCGUGCCAGGUCCAGCUCCUUGCCUUGGGCUUUCUCUGGCUGCCCAGGGCAGGUCAGCAGUGUCUGGAAUCAAUGCCACCUACGCCCCCGGGGAGAGCAUCCCUCAGUUGAUGAGUUGUCAGAGUUAGUGGAUAAAUACUACAGCUCCCUAGCUUGGGGAGAAUUUAGCAAAAUGAGCCACUUCAUAGCAACCUGGGGCAGUCUGUGCUAUAUAGAGGUUAAAGACGGGGGCGCUUGCUCUGAAAUUAAAUGAGAGCUGGGUUCUAACCCCAGUUCUACGACUCAGUGGGAGACGGAACUGAGAGGUGUACAGGCUCCUUAAGUUAGAGCUAGUGAAGGUCCCCCGUCUUUUUGUUCUUUGAACAUCUUGUGUUUUAGGUCUUCCUGGCAGGGGGCACCAGUAAUGGGCAACAGAAUUUUCCCCCAUAUGAGGAGUGUUCUUUAUCUGUACUGUCCAAUCUGGUAGCCACUAGUUGCAUGUGGCUACUGAGUACUUAAAACCUGAUGAAUGCAACUGAGGGACUCAAGUUUUCAUUUUACUUCAUUUUAAUUAAUAUGAAUGCAAACAGCCACACAUGGCUAGUAGCUUCCAUACUGGAUGGAGCAGCUCUACACGCUGGGACAAACGCUAGGGCACAUCCCGCUGGAAUGGGCACCAGCACCCAGCUUCCAAGCUCUCCGGAGAAAGGCAGCAGUGGGAGCAGCAAACCACACAUCCAAAGCUACGUGACGCCUCUCCUUGGGUCCCCAGGAUCACCUGCGGGGUUUCUCUCUCCUUUGUCCUGUCUAAACAGUGCUGUUCCUUUACAGAGAUGCACACGAAUUUUCAUGAGACCAAAUCGUGCUAAAUUGCAUCUCUCGCUCUCUUGCCUCCUGACACAAUUCCCCUUCUAAUAAGAUUUUCCCCUGCUAGCCCAUUUUCGCAGCAGCUGUGCUAAAAAGCCAUCUUCUGAUUGAGCUGUGACUUAGGCAAGGGACAGGGGAGCGUGAGGCAGAAAGCCAGAGGGAUUUAGGUCUAUUUUCUCACCUCUUUGGGGGCAGCCAGGUGAUAUAAUCAAGCCAAAGACAAUUCCUCUACCACCCGCCAGGAGGUCAGAGGACCAGCACCUGCCACAGCCGCUUGCUGACAAUGUUGCCAAAAGACCUCACCUCUGCCGUGGGACAGACUCACCUCCGCCAUGGGACAGACCUUGCCUCCGCUGUGGGACAGACCUCAUCUCACCAUGGGACAGACUCAUCUCCAUCACAGACAGACCUCACCUCCACCGUGGGACAGACCUCACCUCCGCCGUGGGACAGACUCACCUCCGCCGUGGGACAGACCUCGCCUCCGCUGUGGGACAGACCUCAUCUCCACCAUGGGACAGACUCAUCUCCACCACAGACAGACCUCACCUCCACCGUGGGACAGACCUCACCUCCACCGUGGGACAGACCUCACCUCCACCAUGGGACAGACUCACCUCCACCAUGGGACAGACCUUGCCUCCACCGUGGGACAGACCUCACCUCCACCAUGGGACAGACUCACCUCCACCAUGGGACAGACCUUGCCUCCACCGUGGGACAGACCUCGCCUCCACUGUGGGACAGACCUUGCCUCUGCCGUGGGACAGACCUCAUCUCCACCACGGGACAGAUUCACCUCUGCCGUGGGACAGGCAGGCCUGGGGCCCUCACUUCUCUGGAGUGAACUUUCUGUUGCCUUUAGGAGGAGUGGAAACAGAGACCCAUUUCUCCAGAGCAGUUAUUCUCUAAUAGGAGAUGGUGGGAGGAACGCUGGUGGUCUGAAAGCUCUUCCAACAAGUGCAGCAGAAGUGA